GACCUGAGCUAGAAUGCUCAGCCUCUGUGCCAUGUGAUCAUGUGAUGCCCUGUGCAGCCUUGCGGCUCUGCAGAGGCCCCAUCAGCAAGAAGCCUCUCACCAGAUGACUCUCCUCAACCAGCUUCUAGAACCCUCUUUGCUGGAAUGAACUCCAACCAGCACCCACAAUACUGGGAGUCACAGUGAUGUUUGUCAUUUGCAUGAUUCUUCAGAGACUGCAAAGCCCAUGAUCUGGGUUCUAAGGUAUCCCAGUGAAGAAGCAUGUUCCCGGGUCAAUCCUUUACUCUCCCACCCUAACCUGUCUCAUGGAAUGUAAAGACACAUACGUCCCACGCUUAGGUUCUAUAGAUUGCUUGGGAGUCCGUGGACACCUGGCUAAGGAUUCCUGUGGAGAGAUCAAUUAACCCAAGGGCUCCAGGAGAUGCAGAUCAAAGACCGCCACACAAGAAAGAGGCCACACAGAUAAAGAGCCCAGGACCUGCUGUCAGACCUCCCCAGAUUCAGAUUCUUAGGCCUGCCCCUUAUAGGCUGUGUGACCUCAGACAAGUUCCUUAUUUACUCUGAGCCUGAGUGUCCUCGCUCGUAAAAUGGGUCUAACAACGACCACCUCCAAGAAAGAUCACGAUGCCGAAAUGACUCAGAACAGUGCCUGGCGUGGAAGAGCUGCUGGGAAAAUAAUAACUACUAUUUCUACAUCA